rnacentral:lncRNA from 1 species
AGAAGACCUAUAACAAGACAUCUUUGCUUUUAAUGGACUCUAAGAACCCCUAAACGUUCGGACUCUAAUGUGACAAAAGUCACACCUAAACCUGAAACAUAAAAUCAAAAGCAAUAAAAAGAAAACAAUUAAAGUUGCCAAGAGUUGGAAAGAGCACUAAGAACUCUUCCAAUCUACUUGGACUUUAUAAAAGUUCAUUUACAAACCAAAGCUAAGACUAACAAUGACACUGGGCUGACACAAGCCCAUCAAAUACAAAGAAAAAUAAAAUAAAAAAACACUAAACUAUGCUACUGGUCUUGUUCAAUCUCUGCAGAAAAGUCACGGCCCAAUCUCUUGCUGCUACGGUCUCAGCCUAGUCCACUUCUGUAGAAGAAUUAACGUGCCCAG